UACGGGGGGGGCAAGCGUUGUUCGGAAUUACUGGGCGUAAAGCGCGUGUAGGCGGCUUUUCAAGUCGGACGUGAAAGCCCUGGGCUUAACCCAGGAACUGCGUUUGAUACUGUUAAGCUAGAGUGUGGAAGGGGCUACUGGAAUUCCGUGUGUAGCGGUGAAAUGCGUAGAUAUCUGGAGGAACACCGGUGGCGAAGGCGGCGUUCUGGACUGCUACUGACACUGAGGAACGAAAGCCAGGGGAGCAAACGGG
rnacentral:rRNA from 1 species